rnacentral:tRNA from 1 species
CAGAGAAUAGUUUAAAUAAAACAUUAAUUUUGGAGAUUAUAGAUAGAUAUCAAUUUUUCUCUGA